AGUCUGGUGCCAGCAGCCGCGGUAAUUCCAGCUCCAAUAGCGUAUAUUAAAGUUGUUGCGUCUAAAAAGCUCGUAGUUUGAAAACUUGCCUUGGCUUACAACAGACGUCUAAGGGCGUCACCGUUUGUCGAGAGCAAAUAUGGGUGACUGUUCUUGCCUUCUUCACUGAUUGGCUCGUAAAAGUCAUCGAAGAUCACUUUGAUUAAAUUAGGGUGCUCAAAGCAAGUGUGCUACUUGAAUAUGAAUGCAUGGAAUGAUGGAAUAUGUUGUUGUUCUAUUUGUUGGUUUUUUGAAUGACGAAAUGAUUGAAAGGAACUGUUGGGGGCAUUCGUAUUGUUGUGAGAGAGGUGAAAUUCUUAGACCAUAGCAAGACGAACUACUGCGAAAGCAUUUGCCAAGAAUGUUUUCAUUGAUCAAGAACGAAAGUUAGAGGUUCGAAGGCGAUCAGAUACCGCCCUAGUUCUAACCAUAAACUAUGCCGACUAGCAAUUUGCUUUGUAUUUUUAUGACUAAGUGAGAGGCCACGGGAAACCAAAGUAGGGUUAUGGGGGAAGUAUGGUUGCAAAGCUGAAACUUAAAGGAAUUGACGGAAGGGCACCACCAGGAGUGGAGCCUGCGGCUUAAUUUAACCCAACACGGGAAAACUUACCUGGUCCUGACACUAGAAGGAUUGACAGAUUGAUAGCUCUUUCUUGAUGUGGUGGAUGGUGGUGCAUGGCCGUUCUUAGUUGGUGGAGUGAUUUGUCUGGUUAAUUCCGAUAACGAACGGGACUCUAGCCUAUUAAAUAAUAUGCGGAAUCAAUUUCUCCCGCGUUAUUUCUUAAUGGGAUCAAGCGUGUUUAACGCUUUGAAACAGAGCAAUAACAGGUCUGUGAUGCCCUUAGAUGUUCGGGGCUGCACGCGCGCUACAUUGAAGAACAAAGUGAGCCCUCUGGCUUUUAACAAAGCUAGAAAUCUUUUAAUGUUCUUCUUAAUGGGGAUAGGGGAUUGCAAUUGUGCCCCUUGAAUGAGGAAUUCCCAGUAAGUGCUAGUCAUUAGCUAGUACUGAUUACGUCCCUGCCCUUUGUACACACCGCCCGUCGCUACUACCGAUUGAAUAGUUUAGUGAGAUCAUCUGAGUGUUUGUAUGUGCAUUCUGUGCUUGUAUGGUGUACGAAGAAGAUCAAACUUGAUUAUUUAGAGGAAGUAAAAGUC
rnacentral:rRNA from 1 species